UUGCUCUCUCUCGAUUCUUCUCAUUGUUUGUGAUUGAUUUUGGGAAAUUUUUGCGCUUUUGUUGAGUUAUAGGUUUUGGGUUUUGCAUAGGAGACUUCAAACUGUGUUAUCUAGUCAUGAAGGUUUCUUUAGCUUGGAAGUUUUAAGCUUGGGCCAACAAGCGAAAACAGUAAUAACUACUCAUUCUGCUUGUUACUUCAUUGUAAUCAAUUCAUGGUUUCUGAUGUUGCAGCUGUUUGUGUGUGUGUGUGUGUGUGUGUGUCAUUGUGGCAGUAUGUAUGUGUGUGUGUGUCUUUUUACGCCGAGUUUAUGCACCUCCCGAGGAAGAGGUUCACUGAUUUUGUUACAUUUCUCUAUCUUCUUCUUCUUUUUCUUGCUAUUGCAAAUUGUUUAAGACUUGCAGUUUGCGUUUUACUUGUAGAUGUUGAUAUUGUUUUCAAUGUAUAGCUGCUGUUAGACAGGAGAUAUCUGAUGAGACUGUUAGAGAGACCGGCCGGACCAAGGCGAUUUCGAGUGUGCCUAUCCAUCUUAGCAUCUACUCCCCUAAUGUUGUGAACUUGACACUAAUAGAUCUUCCUGGACUCACAAAGGUAGCUGUAGAGGGUCAGGCAGAGAGCAUAGUGCAGGACAUUGAGAACAUGGUUAGGGGCUUCAUUGAGAAGCCCAACUGUAUCAUUCUGGCUAUUUCUAGUGCCAACCAAGAUCUUGCUACGUCUGAUGCAAUU